rnacentral:rRNA from 1 species
CCUACGGGUGGCUGCAGUGGGGAAUAUUGCACAAUGGGGGAAACCCUGAUGCAGCGACGCCGCGUGAAGGAAGAAGGAUUUCGGGAUGUAAACUUCUAUUAGCAGGGAAGAAAAUGACGGUACCUGACUAAUAAGCCCCGGCUAACUACGUGCCAGCAGCCGCGGUAAUACGUAGGGGGCAAGCGUUAUCCGGAUUUACUGGGUGUAAAGGGUGCGUAGGGGGUUUAGCAAGUCAGAGGUGAAAGUCCGGGGCUAAACCUCGGGACUGCUUUUGAAACUGUUAAACUAGAUUGCAGGAGAGGUAAGUGGAAUUUCUAGUGUAGCGGUGAAAUGCGUAGAUAUUAGGAGGAACACCAGUGGCGAAGGCGGCUUACUGGGCUGUAAAUGACGCUGAGGCUCGAAAGCGUGGGGAGCAAACAGGAUUAGAUACCCGUGUAGUC